UUAAACUGAAGAGUUUGAUCCUGGCUCAGAUUGAACGCUGGUGGCAUGCUUAACACAUGCAAGUCGAACGGUAACAGGUCUUCGGAUGCUGACGAGUGGCGGACGGGUGAGUAACGCGUAGGAAUCUGCCCAUCUGUGGGGGAUACCAGUUGGAAACGACUGUUAAUACCGCAUAAUAUCUGCGGAUUAAAGGUGGCCUUUGCGCUGCCGCAGAUGGAUGAGCCUGCGUUGGAUUAGCUAGUUGGUGGGGUAAGGGCCUACCAAGGCUACGAUCCAUAGCUGAUUUGAGAGGAUGAUCAGCCACAUUGGGACUGAGACACGGCCCAAACUCCUACGGGAGGCAGCAGUGGGGAAUAUUGGACAAUGGGGGAAACCCUGAUCCAGCAAUGCCAUGUGUGUGAAGAAGGCUCUAGGGUUGUAAAGCACUUUAGUUGGGGAGGAAAGCCUGUGAGUUAAUAGCUUGCAGGAAGGACGUUGCCCAAAGAAUAAGGACCGGCUAACUCCGUGCCAGCAGCCGCGGUAAUACGGGGGGUCCGAGCGUUAAUCGGAAUUACUGGGCGUAAAGGGUCUGUAGGUGGUUUGUUAAGUCAGAUGUGAAAGCCCAGGGCUCAACCUUGGAACUGCAUUUGAUACUGACAAACUAGAGUAUGGUAGAGGAAUAGGGAACUUCUGGUGUAGCGGUGAAAUGCGUAGAGAUCAGAAGGAACACCAAUGGCGAAGGCAACAUUCUGGACCAAUACUGACACUGAGGGACGAAAGCGUGGGGAUCAAACAGGAUUAGAUACCCUGGUAGUCCACGCUGUAAACGAUGAGUACUAGCUGUUGGAUUCGGUGUAAAGGAUCUAGUGGCGCAGCUAACGCGUUAAGUACUCCGCCUGGGGACUACGGCCGCAAGGCUAAAACUCAAAGGAAUUGACGGGGACCCGCACAAGCGGUGGAGCAUGUGGUUUAAUUCGAUGCAACGCGAAGAACCUUACCUGGUCUUGACAUCCUGCGAACUUUCUAGAGAUAGAUUGGUGCCUUCGGGAACGCAGUGACAGGUGCUGCACGGCUGUCGUCAGCUCGUGUUGUGAAAUGUUGGGUUAAGUCCCGCAACGAGCGCAACCCCUAUUGAUAGUUACCAUCAUUAAGUUGGGUACUCUAUUGAGACUGCCGCUGACAAGGCGGAGGAAGGUGGGGACGACGUCAAGUCAUCAUGGCCCUUACGACCAGGGCUACACACGUGCUACAAUGGGUAUUACAGAGGGCUGCGAAGGUGCGAGCUGGAGCGAAACUCAGAAAGGUACUCUUAGUCCGGAUUGCAGUCUGCAACUCGACUGCAUGAAGUCGGAAUCGCUAGUAAUCGCAGGUCAGAAUACUGCGGUGAAUACGUUCCCGGGUCUUGUACACACCGCCCGUCACACCAUGGGAGUGGGUUGCUCCAGAAGUAGAUAGCUUAACGAAUGGGCGUUUACCACGGAGUGAUUCAUAACUGGGGUGAAGUCGUAACAAGGUAGCCGUAGGGGAACCUGCGGCUGGAUCACCUCCUUA
rnacentral:rRNA from 1 species